AUUGAACGCUGGCGGCAGGCCUAACACAUGCAAGUCGAACGGUAACAGGAGGCAGCUUGCUGCUUCGCUGACGAGUGGCGGACGGGUGAGUAAUGUCUGGGAAGCUGCCUGAUGGAGGGGGAUAACUACUGGAAACGGUAGCUAAUACCGCAUAAUGUCGCAAGGCCAAAGAGGGGGACCUUCGGGCCUCUUGCCAUCGGAUGUGCCCAGAUGGGAUUAGCUUGUUGGUGGGGUAACGGCUCACCAAGGCGACGAUCCCUAGCUGGUCUGAGAGGAUGACCAGCCACACUGGAACUGAGACACGGUCCAGACUCCUACGGGAGGCAGCAGUGGGGAAUAUUGCACAAUGGGCGCAAGCCUGAUGCAGCCAUGCCGCGUGUAUGAAGAAGGCCUUCGGGUUGUAAAGUACUUUCAGCGGGGAGGAAGGGAGUAAAGUUAAUACCUUUGCUCAUUGACGUUACCCGCAGAAGAAGCACCGGCUAACUCCGUG
rnacentral:rRNA from 1 species